AGAGAAUGUCGGGAGAGGAAGUGGCGGCUGUGAGUCAGCAUGAGUCAUCUCGUUCCAAUGAGAAUGAAGACUGAGGUGUGCGCCUUUUUUUUUUUUUCUUCUUCUUUUUUUUUUUUUUUUGGUCUCAAUCGUGGGGACAUCAUUGGGAAUGGAGGGAAAUCAGUGACUGUAUGGUUGUUGCUUUUUAAGUUUCCAACUGGCGUUCCAGGCAAGCCGUGCCUGAGCCGGUGUCUGCCGUGAGAUCUUCAGAGCAUGGUUCCUGGGAAGGUAGAACCAUUAGCUUCUCCCUGGAAGGCACUGCGUAUGAAAUCUUGGGCCCAGACUCCCGAUUUUAACUCACGUUAGAAAAUGCUAGCUCAUAGGACACAAAUCAGGAAGCUGGUUUUCCCAACAGACUCAUCUGGGCACUCAUUCUCCCAGAAUGUCAGAUACCACAGAGCCAGGUUGGUCGUCCCUCAGAAAGCCCGGCAUUUCACUGCUGCUAGCAAAGGAGGCUUUGGAGAAAAAACAAAGGCUGCAGGAGUUUAUGUGAAUCAGCUCACUCCUGUGGACAGGACACGAGGGGAAAGAUACUGAGGAAAAACAAUACAGAAUCUCAAGAAAUAAAUACAGACAUCGCAACUGCCACAAUAACUGGGAGAUGAAACAGGAAGCUCUAUGACACACUUGAUCGAAAAUGACACAGACGUAGAAAAAUCAGGACUCCAGCACCUCUACCUGCUGUCGGCUGCUGGAAGGCAGGUGACAGCUUUGCCCUGGGACCUGAUUCUAGCUGCCGUGGACUCCAAGGGCCUCCGCAUUCGCUGAUGAUGUGUCUGCGAUAUUGAGGUCGUGGUCUAGUCUGGUCGGUUUCCUAUUUAUCUGGCGAGUCUCUAUGUGUCUUAAUCCCUUUUCCUCCAUUAAAAGCAAAACUAAAGAAAAAUGAAUUGUUUGUUAUUAGCUAUAUUUAAACACUAAUUUAAAGGAUACCAAAUGGCCUUUGAGAUUAAUUUCUACAGGACCACAAGUAAGCCCUACCAUAACCCCACUGGUCAUGAUGACAUCUUUAGAAGAGUGUUGAACUUGAAUCUCUUAUUACUCAGCCUUGCUUGCCCUGCUUUUCCUUCUCCCCCUCUAGAAGACCUCUAGAAGACCUCCCAGUCUGUCCCCAGCACCUGGUACUGGGUCAGUAAUGGCAUAUUGACAUUUAAGAGAAAACACUGGAAGACAUUUGGAAGUCUCUUUCCACACCCACUCUGAUCAUGGCCUCCAAAUGGUGAUCUCAAAAUCGUCACCAACCUGAGCUUUCUACUGGAGACCUCGGUCUUCUCAGCUGCUCUUUCCUUCCCUCCACACAUCAGUUACCCAUUCACUUCUUCAUUCCGCACAGGUUCUUUUGGG
rnacentral:lncRNA from 1 species